rnacentral:rRNA from 1 species
CUACGGGGGGCUCCAGUGAGGAAUAUUGCACAAUGGGGGGAAUCCUGAUGCAGCAACGCCGCGUGGAGGAUGACGCAUUUCGGUGUGUAAACUCCUUUUAUAUGUCAAGAAAAUGACGGUAGCAUAUGAAUAAGCACCGGCUAACUCCGUGCCAGCAGCCGCGGUAAUACGGAGGGUGCAAGCGUUACUCGGAAUCACUGGGCGUAAAGGACGCGUAGGCGGGUUGGAAAGUCAGGUGUGAAAUCCUACAGCUUAACUGUAGAACUGCACUUGGAACUUCGAAUCUAGAGUAUGGGAGGGGGAGAUGGAAUUAGUGGUGUAGGGGUAAAAUCCGUAGAUAUCACUAGGAAUACCUAAAGCGAAGGCGAUCUCCUGGAACAUUACUGACGCUAAGGCGUGAAAGCGUGGGGAGCAAACAGGAUUAGAUACCCCCGUAGUC